AAUUUCUCUUUCAAAUGUUUUCUCUUUUUAGCCUAAAUUACUGCGGCUGCGCUUAUCGACUGCGUCGGAACCAUGUUGUUAGGAAUUACUGCCAGUAACCAAUGCCCAUCAAACGUCAGCGAAUUGGAGAUCCUCAGAGAGGCAUUCUGUUUUGCGAUCAAUUUCAUCCUCUUAAAUGUUACAAGUUGAACUCUGUAAUCUGCUCUUUGCGAGUAUGAGGACUGAGUCGUGGAAUCACCUUGGCUGUGGAUCUCCCUCCGUCACAUCAAUGUACUUUGCAGAAUCUACAUUUGGCAGAUACGACAGGGCGGGAAACAGGUGGCCGAGCAUCGCUUCCAUUUGGACGUCACAUGGUCAGUAAGCAUUGGUUUAAUUAUUUGAUGUAGGACUUAGUGCCUCUUCUCAGACACACUAACCUGGCAGUGGGGUGGUGGGGAGGAGGAUAGAGAAUGGAAGUUUGCACUCAAAUUGCUAAAAACAUUGUAUCUUCAGACCAUUUUGUUAGUAAAGUAUCACAGAGUUAAUCCGCUCUUUCUGGGGCUAAAAGAAAAUAAUGUCACAGGUGAAGUGAUUGCUUCUACAUCUUGUCCACAGUACACAGAGUUACAUUGUCGUAAAACACGGCACAUUCCUGUUCCAAUAAAUGUGGUCAUGAUGGAAUUGAAAGCAGUUUCUCCAAGAGGUUAACUGUUACAACUAGGUAGACAGACAGAACAUCAAGCCUCUCUGUGUCAAUAAUCAGAUUUAGAUAUUAACACUUGUCAGGAUGGUGUGAUAUAGUACACAACACGCACACCAGAGAUGUUAGACAGUGUUCAACACAAGAAUAGACACAUACCGGUUGCAUGUACAAUAUACAAAAAAAGAACACAUGUUGCAGUUGAGUUAGACAGGUUGCAAUAUCAGAAAACACACCUGAUGUGUUAGAUAGUGUACAUGAAGGCAUGGACACAACUGGUAUAUGAGACAUAUAUGGCAAUAUGAGAUAUGAGAAAACACACACCAGCUGUAUUAGAAGAUGUGACAUUAGAUUGCACAGAAAUGCAGUAUAUGGACAAUUUCGUGUAGACAGACACACAUACCUGUAGAGUUACAGGCUGCAGUUUCAGGAAACACAGCGGGCGUGUUAGACAGUGUGUCACAGGAAGGCACAAACAGCAAGUGUGUUAGAGAGUGUGCAAGAGGAGGACAAACACAUCAGGUGAGUUAAUGCGAUGCAAGCACAUACUCCAGGUGUGUUAGGCAGUGGGACAUGGGAAUGUUAUUAAAAAAAACUGCCAGCGAAGGUUAUAGUAAAUAAAGUCAUGGUUUACACAGAAACAUUGAUUGUUUGUAACUUCACAAAUCCAGUUGUAAACUGCUGGCAUCAUUUUAAAUAAAAUAUUAAUUUUC